rnacentral:rRNA from 1 species
AACGAACGCUGGCGGCAUGCCUAACACAUGCAAGUCGAACGAGACCUUCGGGUCUAGUCGCGCACGGUUUCGUAACGCGUGGGAACCUGCCCUUAGGUUCGGAAUAACUCCCCGAAAGGGGUGCUAAUACCGGAUAAUGUCUUCGGACCAAGGAUUUAUCGCCUUUGGAUGGGCCCGCGUUGGAUUAGCUAGUUGGUAGGGUAAAAGCCUACCAAGGCGACGAUCCAUAGCUGGUCUGAGAGGAUGAUCAGCCACACUGGGACUGAGACACGGCCCAGAAUCCUACGGGAGGCAGCAGUGGGGAAUAUUGGACAGUGGGCGAAAGCCUGAUCCAGCAAUGCCGCGUGAGUGAUGAAGGCAUUAGGGUUGUAAAGCUCUAUUAACUGGGAUGAUAAUGACAGUACCGGGAGAAUAAGCUCCGGCUAACUCCGUG